rnacentral:rRNA from 1 species
AUUGAACGCUGGCGGCAUGCCUUACACAUGCAAGUCGAACGGCAGCACGGGAGCAAUCCUGGUGGCGAGUGGCGAACGGGUGAGUAAUAUAUCGGAACGUGCCCAGUCGUGGGGAUAACGUAGCGAAAGCUACGCUAAUACCGCAUACGAUCUAUGGAUGAAAGCGGGGGAUCGCAAGACCUCGCGCGAUUGGAGCGGCCGAUAUCAGAUUAGGUAGUUGGUGAGGUAAAGGCUCACCAAGCCGACGAUCUGUAGCUGGUCUGAGAGGACGACCAGCCACACUGGGACUGAGACACGGCCCAGGACUCCUACGGGAGGCAGCAGUGGGAAUUUUGGACAAU